GAUGAACGCUGGCGGCGUGCCUAACACAUGCAAGUCGAACGGAAAGGCACUGCUUUCGUGGGGUUCCCGAGUGGCGAACGGGUGAGUAACACGUGAGUAACCUGCCCUUGACUUUGGGAUAACUUCAGGAAACUGGGGCUAAUACCGGAUAGGAGCUCCUGCAGCAUGGUGGGGGUUGGAAAGUCUCGGCGGUUGGGGAUGGACUGGCGGCUGACCAGCUUGUUGGUGGGGUAGUGGCUUACCAAGGCAUGGACGGGUAGCCGGCCUGAGAGGGUGACCGGCGACAUUGGGACUGAGAGACGGCCCAGACUCCUACGGGAGGCAGCAGGGGGGAAUAUUGCACAAUGGGCGGAAGCCUGAUGCAGCAACGCCGCGUGCGGGAUGACGGCCUUCGGGGUGUAAACCGCUUUCGCCUGUGACGAAGCGUGAGUGACGGUAAUGGGUAAAGAAGCACCGGCUAACUACGUG
rnacentral:rRNA from 1 species